rnacentral:rRNA from 1 species
UACGUAGGGCGCAAGCGCUGUCCGGAAUCAUUGGGCGUAAAGAGCUCGUAGGUGGUCUGUUACGUCUGCUGUGAAAUCCUAGGGCUUAACCCUGGGCCUGCAGUGGAUACGGGCAGACUAGAGGUAGGUAGGGGAGAAUGGAAUUCCCGGUGUAGCGGUGAAAUGCGCAGAUAUCGGGAGGAACACCGGUGGCGAAGGCGGUUCUCUGGGCCUUACCUGACACUGAGGAGCGAAAGCGUGGGGAGCGAACAGG